AUACGAAGGUCCCAAGCGUUAAUCGGAAUUACUGGGCGUAAAGCGCGCGUAGGCGGCUUGAUAAGUCGGAUGUGAAAUCCCCGGGCUUAACCUGGGAAUUGCAUUCGAUACUGUCAGGCUAGAGUGUGGUAGAGGGAAGUGGAAUUUCCGGUGUAGCGGUGAAAUGCGUAGAUAUCGGAAAGAACAUCAGUGGCGAAGGCGGCUUCCUGGAUCAACACUGACGCUGAGGUGCGAAAGCGUGGGGAGCAAACAGGAUUAGAAACCCGAGUAGUCC
rnacentral:rRNA from 1 species